GUGCCAGCAGCCGCGGUAAUACCGGCAGCCCGAGUGAUGGCCGAUCUUAUUGGCCCUAAAGCGUCCGUAGCUGGCCGCGCACGUCCGUCGGGAAAUCCACCUGCCCAACAGGUGGGCGUCCGGCGGAAACUGUGUGGCUUGGAACCGGAAGGCUCAGAGGGUACGUCCGGGGUAGGAGUGAAAUCCCGUAAUCCCGGACGGACCACCGAUGGCGAAAGCACUCUGAGAAGACGGCUUCGACAGUGAGGGACGAAAGCUAGGGUCUCAAACCGGAUUAGAAACCCCAGUAGUCC
rnacentral:rRNA from 1 species